ensembl:lncRNA
CAUUUUGUGUAAGUUCACUACAUGGUAACCCCACAUUUGCCUGAAUAUAUUCCCCAUGAAUUCCUGACUAACAUCCUAAACAGUGGAUAAAGACCUAUUUUAUCACCUCAUGACUUUGAUUUCAUUAAGAAACCACAGAAGAUUGGUAGCAUUGAGCCUCCAUGUUCUCACUGGUCUUGAAGGAAGGGUUCUCCUGUGGUCCUGUAUCAUGUCACCCACUGCCUCCUCUGCAAAGCCCUCCUGCUCUCUCGGCACAGGUGAAUAAGCAGCCACUCCCCUGAGGAGCCAGCAGGACCCACCAGACACUCCUUUACUCUUGUGGGAAUGCACGGAAGGACUGAGAGCUGUGCAAAAUCUGUCUGGUCAGGCACGGUUUGGGCUGUUGAGAAAACGCUUGCAUUUUCCUCCCAGUGCCUCUGUGCUUGGAGCCAUCUGCCACCUGCCUCCUCACUGGGGGUUCUCUGUUUGCUGGGAAGGGGAGGCUUGGAAGCACAGGAUGGAACAGCUGUGCUGUCCUUGGGCUCAGCUGCACACACUGCACAUUGUCCUGCUCUCCAAGGCAGUGGGAAAGUGUGUGGAAGCAGCAGGAAAAAGUCCCAAGCAACCUUUUAUAGAGAGCCACAGUUAAGUUUAAGAUACGUUCAUUUCGUCCUUCCAGUCCAGCCCUGCCAAAACCCACCCUGAGCAAGACUGGAACUGGGGAAAUGGGAAUCAAAACCCUUCCACUGGCUGUGAGGCAGGAGAGACUCCAUGAGCAGCUGGUACAAACUUCAUGAUCUGAACUGCAGGGAUGCAUCCCCUGCCUUUGUGGAAACAAUCUGCGCAGCUGAGAUAGAAGGAUCAGGGUGGGCAAGGACAGCCCCAAGCUCUGCCAUGGCCUGAGCAGCUUUAUAAGGGCAACAGGAUGAGGAAAAGGCACUGCUAAGCUGGGUUCUGCUGCAGAACAGAAAAUGCAUUGUUAGUAAAUCAGACUUUGGAACUGCUUAAGACUUAAACACAGCUUCAAUUAAUUAACCUUUCACAGCACAACACAGCCCCAGAGUGAAUACAACACUAUUCAGUCCCCUGACUGCAGAUUUUGUUGCAAAAUAAACAAGUUUUUCCAGGGCUGGGCUUGAUAGUGCUGAUCAAGAGGUUGGGCUGGGUUCAAAGUCAUCUCAAAGUCCUAGUGGGGAUACGAAAAUGGUUGUAACACCUAGAGAAAAUUACCUUUAGCGAAAUAUUUGUACACAGCACAUGUUAUAAAGCCCCAAAUGGUGUGACAGAGGUGCUCUUUAAUAAAUUCUAUGAGCAUGUUUCCCAGCAGUGUGAACCUUGUGGGGUUUGGUUUUUAUUGCCUUAUUAAAAACUGUUUCCAGGAUGCUCAAGUAACAUUUUCCCAGCUAUUUUUUAUGCAUAAUUACUCUUUCUUCCCUAUGCUAAUUUUAUUCCUGUAAAUGUGCCCUCUGGACCAAACAGUGCCUCCCCCAUGGUAACACAACUCUUGACACAUUGGUGAAAAUGAAGGAUGGAAUUUGAUGCAGCGAGGUCAAUCCUUGACCUCUCACCCUUUCUUUCUGAAGCUGAGAACACUCUGCAGCAGUUUCACCAGGUAAAUGCUGUACCCUUCAGUAAAUGAGGAAAUGGCAGCAACAUUUUUGCAGCAAAGUAAAACAGAGGACUGGGAAUAGUUCUUCAGCACAAGGGGAAUGACAGCUGGAAAAGAGCCACUGCUGCUGGACUCCUCAACCUGCCCUAAAUCAGAGCUCAGGCUGAAAUACAGACAAGAAUCAUUAACUGCUCCAAACCCCAGAACAGGGCAGUGUGUGAAGCUGCACUGGGAAUGAUGGGAUGGAUACCAGCACUUCCAGGGAAUGGGACCCUCCUGGCAGGCUGCUCUUGCCAGCAGUGUCCAUCUAGAAUAAUCCACGCAGGGAUGGUUUCCAUACUGCUGUCCAUAUGUUCAUAGCAGCCAUAGCAGAGACAUGACUUCAUGUGCUUUAUAUGGCCCCUCCCAUGGGGAAGAGCAGCUCAGCCUCGACCUCCAGGAAUUCCUUCACUUCUGUGGUGCAGUGAUCCUUCAUCUUCUCCUGUGGCAGCUGCUGGGUUCCUGAGUUUCUUCCCUGGCUUGGACUGACGGCAAGGCAAAGGAAAUAAAACUGGCAGAAUCCCCCGGAUUGCUGCCCCCUCAUAAUCCCUGCUGGAAGGGUGUGGACCAGGAGCAGCAUCCCAACAGAGCCCUGGCUCCAUCCCUCCCAGCCUGAAGAAAUCCAGGAUGGCAACACAGAUCACUAAAUAAA